GCUCGCCCGGGCACCUAUCCACGACCCCGCGACGCCCCUCUCCUCUUCCUCCCGCCUCACCCCUCUCUCUCUCUCUCUCCCCAAACCCUAACCCUAGCCACCAGCCUCCGCUCCCUGCCGCGCCGUAUCCUCCUCCCCGCCCUCUCGGUCCUCAGCAUGAGGAGCGCAGCUCGCUGUCGCAGCUGCUCCGCGUCGCUGCUCCCUCGUCGAGCUCGCACGCCCCCGUCACCUGGAGGAGCGGCCGCACCAUGGCCGGUGCUUUGCCGCCUCCAAUUUUGGCCCCCGUCUCCACUUCAUUCUUCAUUAGGUUCUCUCUCUCUCUCUCUCUCUGACCUCUACUUUUUCCAUGCCUGGGCUUGCAGGUCACCGCCUGGUGGGUGCUGGCUCGAAGGUGAGCUACACCGUUGAACUAUUUGAAGUAAUCUGCAAAUAAUCCCAGAGAAUCAGGAAAACCACAUGAUGUCAUCUCACUAGCUAAAUAUGUAAAUCUGGUUCAGUGUUCUCUGAAGUUAUACUACGUGGUUCAGUUCCAGUAACAGCCAGAUGAUGGCCCGUUCAGAAACACCUUUUUUCCGUCGUGGGUGCUCUCGCCCCCACUUGCCAAGUCAAGUGUUCGCGGGGAAGCUCAGUUAUGGCCAAUUCAUCUCAAAAUAAUGCAAACUCUUGCAGACUACUCAGGGAUCAUUCCAUUUGAAGAGGCUCAUGCUGCCCGGAUUGCAUUAAGCAAGCCAUCUAUGUCCCAAAGUUGAGGACCGUUUGGAGAAGAGGCCACCCAGGUUCUGCUGUACAGCCAUGCAUCCACAGGAUGGUUGAAAAGCGGGUGGCACAUGUCAAGCUGCGGGAAGCUCAGGGCACGAUCAUCAGCUUCAGCUGCAUCAAUGCAACUCGCUGGUCGAUGGUCCUGCUACCCUAGGUGAUGAGGGGGACGGUACUUCAAGUGAACUAAGGGGUGUGUCAUUGCUGAUGAGACCCCCUCCCUUUAAAACCAAAAAGGCAAGGCUAGCACUCGGCCUUUUAUCAACCUUUUAAUGGAACUUGGUAUUACUCUUUGUGAAUAUGAAGUCAAAAUUAAUAAUUAAUAAAGGCAAAAUAUACCUUUUAUGUUUAUUCACAGUUGUCAUCACGAAGGUUGCUGAGUUUUUUUGUGCUCACACACCCUGAUCAGUUCUCCUAGAGCAUUGUAAUUAACAAUCAUCCGUAGUUGAUUUCAUGACCGGUGGGCUUUCAGCAAAUAAACAAUCAGAAGGAAUCAAUAAGAAUAUAAUCCGUUGAGUUCAACAUCCUCCAAUAAUAUAAUCAUGCCUCGAUUGGAAUUAGUACUACAAUAUAUAACAUCUUCUUUUUGUAGAUUUUUUAUUUAUAUGUGUCUAUAUGGUUUUCCAUGAAAAUCCAAAAGGGCCUCGAAGUGUUGGAGCUUGGAUCUGGGGGUGCAUUGGUGAGCCAUCCCUUCUCCCACACUGGCUUCUCUGUUAUUUUUGUGCAUAUCAUGCCUUGAUUUGUGCUCAGUUGGUGUGAAAUGUGCAAGCAAGCUAUGUGUGCGAUCUACUGCCCGUUAUCAUGUGUCACAAACUACUAUAAAUGCAUAUUAAUGCCCCUUUAUUAUAUAUGUCUACUGCCUUUUACAUUCUCUAGGGCUAAGCCACUACUUUCUUCUAUUGUGUUUUGUUAUACCUUUUAAACAUGCACCGUAUGCCAUAGAUUGGUAUGACAUGUACAACCACUGAUAUGUGCGAAGAGAUGUGACGUAUCUUGAUGUUUUUACUGAACCAUUAUUAUUCUGGGUGCAUAACGAUUGUAUGGUACUAUCAUUUCUUUUAUAUAAUUGUUUGCAUCACCAGGUGUUUACGCUAAAACAAGUCUGUUGCUGCAAGUCUUGCAAGAAAUUUGGGUGACAAGGCGUCUGGACGGAACUAUCUAUCCAUCUAUCUAUCUAUCUAAUACUAGAGGCUGGGGCGCGCCCUGGGCGCGCCUCUUAGGCGUGAGUGUCCGCACUAAUACUGCUUAUGCAGUUGUCUACGUGUUUAUAUAGUCCAAAUUAGCGCUAGUUUUCUGCUUUUAAUACACUUGCUGAAACUGAACGUCUGUCAUGAAUGGUACGUCUAGAGACGAUGGACAAUGAGAGACUAAAUUUUGUAAACUCAA